CGCGCGGGCCGAUCCGUGAGGAGCGGGUGCCGUACAAAUGUCUUUAUAAUUCACAGCGUGCCGAACCAUUUGUGUUCUGCGGGAUCAGAAUAUCCUGAGCUGGAACGGGAACGGACCCUCAGGGAUCAUCAGCGACCCCGUUGCUGCGACAGGACUGAUGGAGCGUUUUAAGGGAUGGAUGCUGCUCUUUGCAGAGUUCCUCAUGAGACCGUGUCAGUCCUCCCUGCAAUCAUCUCUCCAAUUUGUGGCUGUUCCCGUGAGUUUCUGCUCCAUUUUCUCACUCCCAGAGGCUCUACGGGGACAUCAGGGCUCAGCAGGGGCUCCUCUUUCCUUACCCUGUGAUAAAACUUCUCCAGGAGUGCUCUGUCAA